CCUACGGGAGGCAGCAGUGAGGAAUAUUGGUCAAUGGGCGUAAGCCUGAACCAGCCAAGUCGCGUGAGGGAUGAAGGUUCUAUGGAUCGUAAACCUCUUUUAUAAGGGAGUAAAGUGCGGGACGUGUCCCGUUUUGUAUGUACCUUAUGAAUAAGGAUUGGCUAACCCCGUGCCAGCAGCCGCGGUAAUACGGAGGAUCCGAGCGUUAUCCGGAUUUAUUGGGUUUAAAGGGUGCGUAGGCGGCCUUUUAAGUCAGCGGGGAAAGUCUGGGGAUCAACCAUAGAAUUGCCGUUGAAACUGGGAGGCUUGAGUAUGUUUGAGGCAGGCGGAAUGCGUGGUGUAGCGGUGAAAUGCUUAGAUAUCACGCAGAACCCCGAUUGCGAAGGCAGCCUGCCAAGCCAUGACUGACGCUGAUGCACGAAAGCGUGGGGAUCAAACAGGAUUAGAUACCCUUGUAGUC
rnacentral:rRNA from 1 species